GUCUACAGUCAUGCCACCCUAAACAAGCCCGAUCCUGUCCAAUCUUAGAAGCUAAGCAGGGUCAGGCCUGGUUAGUACUUGGAUGUGAGAACACCUAGGAAGACUAGGUGCUGUAGGCC
ensembl:rRNA 5S_rRNA 5S ribosomal RNA